rnacentral:rRNA from 1 species
UACGAAGGGGGCUAGCGUUGCUCGGAAUCACUGGGCGUAAAGGGUGCGUAGGCGGGUCUUUUAAGUCAGGGGUGAAAUCCUGGAGGCUCAACUCCAGAACUGCCUUUGAUACUGAGGAUCUUGAGUUCGGGAGAGGUGAGUGGAACUGCGAGUGUAGAGGUGAAAUUCGUAGAUAUUCGCAAGAACACCAGUGGCGAAGGCGGCUCACUGGCCCGAUACUGACGCUGAGGCACGGAAAGCGUGGGGGGCAAACAGG